UAACACAUGCAGGUCGAACGGAAUUAGAGCUUCGGUUUUAACUUUAGUGGCGAACGGGUGAGUAACGCGUGAGGAACCUGCCUUUCAGUGGGGGACAACAGUUGGAAACGACUGCUAAUACCGCAUGACACUUUUGGGAGACAUCUCCUGGAAGUCAAAGCUUUAUGUGCUGAAAGAUGGCCUCGCGUCUGAUUAGCUGGUUGGUGAGGUAACGGCUCACCAAGGCGACGAUCAGUAGCCGGUCUGAGAGGAUGAACGGCCACAUUGGGACUGAGAUACGGCCCAGACUCCUACGGGAGGCAGCAGUGGGGAAUAUUGGGCAAUGGGGGAAACCCUGACCCAGCAACGCCGCGUGAAGGAAGAAGGCCUUCGGGUUGUAAACUUCUUUUACCAGGGACGAAGGACGUGACGGUACCUGGAGAAAAAGCAACGGCUAACUACGUGCCAGCAGCCGCGGUAAUACGUAGGUUGCAAGCGUUGUCCGGAUUUACUGGGUGUAAAGGGCGUGUAGGCGGAGAUGCAAGUUGGGAGUGAAAUCCAUGGGCUCAACCCAUGAACUGCUCUCAAAACUGUAUCCCUUGAGUAUCGGAGAGGCAAGCGGAAUUCCUAGUGUAGCGGUGAAAUGCGUAGAUAUUAGGAGGAACACCAGUGGCGAAGGCGGCUUGCUGGACGACAACUGACGCUGAGGCGCGAAAGCGUGGGGAGCAAACAGGAUUAGAUACCCUGGUAGUCCACGCUGUAAACGAUGAAUACUAGGUGUGGGAGGACUGACCCCUUCCGUGCCGCAGUUAACACAAUAAGUAUUCCACCUGGGGAUACGACCGCAAGGUUGAAAUCAAAGGNAUUGACGGGCCCGCACAAGCAGUGGAGUAUGUGGUUUAUUCGACGCAACGCGAGAACCUUACCAGGAUUGACAUUCCAACUAACGAAGUAGAGAUACAUCAGUACCCUUCGGGGAAGUUGAGACAGGUGGUGCAUGUUGUCGUCAGCUCGUGUCGUGAGAUGUUGGGUUAAGUCCCGCAACGAGCGCAACCCUUAUUGUUAGUUGCUACGAAAGAGCAUUCUAGCGAGACUGCCGUUGACAAAACGGAGGAAGGCGGGGACGACGUCAAAUCAUCAUGCCCCUUAUGUCCUGGGCUACACACGUAAUACAAUGGCGGUCAACAGAGGGAAGCAAAGCCGCGAGGUGGAGCAAAUCCCUAAAAGCCGUCUCAGUUCGGAUUGCAGGCUGCAACUCGCCUGCAUGUAGCUGGAAUGGCUAGUAAUCGCGGAUUUGCAAA
rnacentral:rRNA from 1 species